UACGGGGGGGGGCAAGCGUUGUUCGGAAUUAUUGGGCGUAAAGAGCUCGUAGGCGGCUUGUCGCGUCGGUUGUGAAAGCCCGGGGCUUAACCCCGGGUCUGCAGUCGAUACGGGCAGGCUAGAGUGUGGUAGGGGAGAUCGGAAUUCCUGGUGUAGCGGUGAAAUGCGUAGAUAUCUGGAGGAACACCGGUGGCGAAGGCGGCAUCCUGGACCAACACUGACGCUGAGUGAGCGAAAGCCAGGGGAGCAAACGGG
rnacentral:rRNA from 1 species